GGGGGUCUAGCUCAUCGGUAGAGCGCUCGCUUAGCAUGCGAGAGGUAACGUGUUCGACUCAUGUGUCCUCCA
rfam:Serendipita vermifera MAFF 305830 unplaced genomic scaffold scaffold_32, whole genome shotgun sequence.